GCUUAGCUCAGUCGGUAGAGCAGUAGUUUUGUAAACUUCAGGUCGUCGGUUCGAAUCCGACAG
rnacentral:tRNA from 1 species